rnacentral:lncRNA from 1 species
GGGACCUCGGGACAGCAGGGACUGGGGAGUUAUGGGCUUAGAGCAGGGAGAGGCCCAGAGGCACAGGUGAGGAAACCAUUUUUGCCCAGGGUGAAUGUGACAGGAAAACCUGUAGCCUCUAACCUGGGGCCACAUACAAGCUGGGAAAUCAGAAUGACAUUCUAGUCCUCCAUCCCAAGAGUGGACGUUUGCCCUGGGAAGGGCAGCCCCCACCCCCCCGCCCCAGGUCCUACUACAGCCUGCUGCCUGGCCGGGCCCCUCAAAGCCUGGACCAGAUGUGCCACUGGCUGCUCCAGGCCUGGGGGUCCUGCGGUCUUCGCUGUUCCUGACCCCCCUUGGUCCCCUAAGAGUGAAGGGAUAGGGCAGCUGGGCCUGUUCCAAGCCAGGGUGGCCACACAGGAAGGGCCACAUCUGUUAUGGUUGUGACCUGAAAUGCCCCUCAAAGGCUCAUUGUGUUGAAGGCUUGGGUGCCACUGAUAGGUAUUUGGUGGUAAUUGGAUCAUGAGGGCUCUAACUUCCUCAAGUGGGUUAGUGGGCUAAUUAGGAGGUGGGAUCUAAUUGGAUGAAACUGGUCAUGGGGGCCACGGCUUUGAGAGUGGAUUUUGGCCCUGGCCCUCUCAUCUCUGUUCUUAAUCAUCUCUCUUUCUCUCUCCCUCCCCCUCUCCCUCCCCCUCUCCCUCUCCUCCCUCUCUUUCUCCACUUGUCCCCCCACCCUCAUUCCUGGCUACCAUGACAGGAGCAGCUUUCUGUCUCCUUGCCCUUCCACCAUGACGCUUCUGCCUUACCAUGGGCCAAAGAGUAAUGGAGCCAGCUACCUGUAGACUGAAAUCUCUGAGACUGAGACCAAACAAACCUUUCCUCAUUCAGUUGUGUAUCUCAGGUAUUUCUCACCGAAGGGCAGCCUGCCCGCUCCAUGACUGACAGGAUGGGGUGGCCCCGCCCCCCCGGGCUGACUGAUGGAUCCGACUCCGUCCCCCCAUCCAGCCCAGACUCGGGUCCAGCACAGUGAAUGGGGCCCUGAAGUGCAGUGUGCAGCUCGGGGUCUCAGGCCUCCCGUUCAGAGCCUCUCCACCCACUGGCCGACUGACCUUGGUUUUGCCCCCUGCUAUGGUCAGAGUCCCCCAAACCUCUAAGUUGAAGCUGAAGGCCGAGGUGAUGGUGUCAGGAGGGGCAGCCCUCGGGAGGCCGUCAGGUCACAGGGCAGAGGUCUCACGGAAGAGAUUAGUGCCCUUACAAUGGGCUCGAGGGAGGGGCAGUGCCCCUUGCUUCUCUUCUGGCAUGUGAGGACACAGUUUGUCCUCUCCGGAGGAGGCAGAGACUGGGCCCUCAGCAGACUGGAGUCAUCUUGGUCUUGUACUUCCUGCCUCCAGAGCUGUGAGGAAACAAAUUUCCCUUCUUUUUAAAGUAACCAGCUUAAGGUAUUUUUUUCCAGCGAUCUAAAGGGACUGAGACAUUGUCUGGACUGGGGUUUCCUGUCUAGAAGAUGGGUCUGUUGUGGAUUCCAUGAGGUCAUAUGGAUCUUCUGCAUUUGGUUCUAGCUAAGUAAGUGUGAUCAUAGGUAAAUUCAGGUCUGUGUGUGUAGAUCUAUGUCUGUGUGUACAGCUACCUAUAAAGUUUUAUUAGCAAGCUAGAACAACAGCAACAUGGCACCAUGAGCCUCUCCCUGGGGCUGGGGCACCUGAUUUGCCUGCCUCACUGCAAGGCUGUGCCCACAUGACGCCUGGGGCAGAAGAUGUGCUCCCAGCAGCACUUGCAUCCUGAUGGUUCUGACCCUCACCUGAAACAGCAAGAAAUCCAGCUUCAGGCGCAGAUGGAUUGCGGUUGUAAGAGUCUUGAACGCCACAGGGAUCAUUACCUAAGAGUUGGACUUCUGGCAACUGAGCUCAAGACUGAUGCACGCUGUGUCUUAGGGUGCUCUCCUGGGCUGAGCAGGGCCUGGAGCAGGCAGAUGUGCUCACAGCUGCCCGGUGCCAGGAUACCACAGCCACUGUCCUGCUCAGUCCAGCCCUGGGCUUUGGUGUCCAGGCGGGAGAAACUUGGCUCUGUUGAGCUUUUCAAAAUAAAGUGGUUUUUAUUUCAUAUUCACGAGAGAGGUUGCAAAAGAGACUCAGGGUCGCUGCUUUUCAUAUUAUUUAUGCAUUUGCCCCCCCAUCUCUCUUCCCAAAAGCAAGUCACAAAAGGGCCUUUGUUCUCCACAAGUUCAAAGCCAGCUCCUCCAAGGGGAGACUUCUGGGCGAUCACACGGGAGGCUGCUGUUCCAACGGCUGGCUGUCAGAGCAGAAAUACGGUCCGAGUCAGGGUUCCGGCAGUUUGCACGCUGCAGGAGCCGCCUGAAUGGUUUCCAGUGUGACCUGGGCUGAGGGGCCAGGCUGGGGCAGGGGGAGCAGCCUGAAUCCGCCUUGGCACACCUCGCCUCCAUGGCUUCGGUUUCCUCAUCAGCAGAACCGAGCGUGUGUACGCUGGACUCCAUCAGAGGGUUCCAUGGGGCGCCUGGGGUCGUCUUAGAAACAGGUGGGCUCGGGGGUACCCUGCCCUCUUCUGCCCUUCUGAAGGCUUGAGGGGUUGAGUGUGCAGG